rnacentral:SRP_RNA from 1 species
GCUGGGUGUGGUGGUGUGCGCCUGUAAUCCCAGCUACUCAGGAGGCUGAGGCAGAAGAAUCACUUGAACCCGGGAGGUGGAGGUUGCAGUGAGCCAAGAUCGCGCCACUGUACUCCAGCCUGGGUGACAGAGUGAGACUCUGUCUUAA